CCGCAUUUUGACGUCAUAUUUUUUUAUUUUAUAGACACAAGUGUAGUGAUUCACGCAUAUGCGUGGUCCGUGUGGAGAAAUAUCACGCUUGUGUCUAUGAAGUAAAAAAUAUGGGGUCAAAAUGCGGUGUAAGGAGCAUUACUCUUUUGUAAAUGCAUACAAAGCAAUGGGCUCUACGCUUGACAUCUCUCGUUGGAGCGAGGGAGUGAAUAAUGGCAUCUCAUCAAACGAAAUAAAAUAACAAAAGCAUCUCUGUGGGAAAUCAGAAUACACGGGAAGUGGCCCCAAAUACAGCCUGUCGAAAAGCAUUGGAAAUUCAAAGGGAUUUAAGUUAGGCAGGGGUCUUAGCUCAUUGAUUUAAUCAGAAUUUUUCGGCUUAAUCAACUAACUCAUGAAUAAUAUUAAGCUGAUCGAAAAGGGAAAAUUAGGGAAGUACACACUACUAUUUCGCAUUUUAAUUCCGAAAAUCAGAUCAUCCUUCAAUUUCUUAAAAUAUAUUUUAAGCGAUCCGAUUGGAUCAAAUUUAUUUUUUGAUUUUUAGUGUUAUGAAUGUCAUGACGAUAUAUAGUAGUACUAGUCUUAAACAGGAAAUGGAAUGGAGUUUGUUUGAACACUACACACCAAUAUGAAACUACAACAAACACCUAAUCACUUGAGCUAACUUGUAAGUUUCAGUUCGGUCUUUUUAUAUCAAAUAACUUGACUAUUCGAGAAAAUGAAUGGCUCUCAUCAAAUCACAAGGUUUGGAGGAUCGAAGGAAUAUUCUUGAAAAAAAGUUACUUUUGAUGAAUUUUUUUUUUUUUUGGAUAGUACUUUAUUAAAAGGAACUAGUCCAGAGGAUCGAGGGAAAAAUCUCAACAAAAGCAAACAGCAGAGAAUACAUUAAGAAAACCAAAACUUAAGGCCAAGGAUUAACUAAUUCCCACUAGCAUGGCAUGCGCAAUCUCAAAAGGGGUGCCCAUCCGUUUGUAUUGAAAGAUAAACUUGAUCUAGAAGCAGCCCAUGUGUUUUUCAUGAGCCACAACUUGUCUCAACAAUUAAUGCUGGCUUGAAGAUACCAUUUGGAAGUUUGCUAAGGCUAAGUUCCAUUCACACCAUUUGUUCACACUAUAGGUUGUACAGUGCAUGAAUUUGUGUCGCUUCUGCUUUCCAACAGUUUACUUUUUGCACAUGAAGCACUCUUCCUUGCAAAGACAACUAGCAAGCAUGGGUAUUAUUUUAAAUAAAAAUAAAAAUUGAUAAGAGACAUUGAGAACAGAAAAUAAAGUACCUGUCUGUUUUCAGAGGUUUUUUUUUGGGGUAGAUCGUAGCCAAGGGUGGAUAAUAGUGUAAUGCAGUUACUGUAGAUUCAUAUCGGUUGGUUUGGUAAUUGCUAGUAUAAGGCACGGGUAAUGAGCAGUAUCUAUUUAAAGUUUACUAAAUUAUGAACACAAUUAUCGUGGGUCACGCUUGCCAAAAAGUUGUGGGUUGCUAUCUGCAGGGCCGACCUAGAGGUAAGUUCAGCAAGCCCCUUGGACUUGGGCAACCCCCCGGGCUAGGGCGCUGUUGGCUUGUAGUUGCUAGAGGUAGUGGUGGACUAGCUCAAUUGUGGCGGUGUGGUUCCUCAGCGUUGGCUAUAGAGCCAUGGGCUUUGCUUAUUGCUUGUGCGGUGGCAGUGGAGGCGAAUUUCCCAGUGGUUAUUUUCGAGUCAGAUUGUAAGAACCUGAUUUCAUGUAUCAAUGAUCCAAAAGUGCAAGCUCCGUGGGAAAUAGAUGGCGAUAUUGAAGAUAUCAAAGACCUUGGCGACGUCUCGGCAGUGGUCUUUUGUUUGGUGCAGUCAUGAGAAAAACAAAGUAGCUCACUGGAUUGCAUUGAAUUGUCUUAAAGAGAAAGUUAUUAUUUCACACGGGUUGUAUUCCGCCCGGGCUAAAUGCCAUUUUGGUCUUAACUUUUGAGUUUCUAAUGAUCAUAUCCAAAAAGACAAGGAAAAAAAGAACUAGUAGUAUUUGAUGUACAUUAACUCAUUAGUAAUCGAAUUUUUCGAAAAGGUUUAACA